rnacentral:lncRNA from 1 species
ACCCUGCUGUUACUCAGUUUCUAAAUAAGGCUGUCAAAUAUCCUGAGCCUUGAGAGAAAUGAGAAACAUCUCAGUCUGUAAACAAUGGAACUAAUGGAACCUGGUUUCCUGAAGAUUUCUGUGGAACUUCUUAUAAGAAAAGAGCACCUCAGGAAUCAAGUCCAGAAUCCCUCCACCAGAGACAACCAUGCAAUAGUCACUCCCCCAGAAGGGUUCACAAAAUUGCUACUCCCUCCCUAUCUUUCACAGACACUUCCUAUAAUCACACAGUGAAUUUCAGACCUGAAGUAAAAGCUCGAGGAACACACUUCUAAUUACUAUUGCAAAGAGAACAGAAAAGAUGAAGUAUGUUACCAGUGAUUUAUACCUCUACUAAGCCGUAUUUUUGCUCAAUGACUAGCAGGUCUGUUGCACACUACCAAAGAUGAUCUGAAGUGAUCUCUGCCAGUCAAAUCUGAAAAAAAAAAUCCUUUCCAGACCCCAAAUCAAGCAAUCGGAGUAACUCUGGGUGUGUGAGCAAGACUCAUCAGCCAGACAUUUGUCCGAGUUUAAUACUGCUUGCCAAAUCCACUCACAUACCACUUUCAUGCAGUUUAGUUGUGAGACAAGAACUAGUGAGGAGAAAAAAAGUC